rnacentral:rRNA from 1 species
UCCAGGGGGGAUACUUAUCACUUUCGCUUAGCCACUGAGAUUGCUCCCAACAGCUAGUAUCCAUCGUUUACGGCGUGGACUACCAGGGUAUCUAAUCCUGUUCGCUACCCACGCUUUCGUCCAUCAGCGUCAAUCCAUUAGUAGUAACCUGCCUUCGCAAUUGGUAUUCCAUGUAAUCUCUAAGCAUUUCACCGCUACACUACAUAUUCUAGUUACUUCCUAAUAAUUCAAGUUUAACAGUAUCAAUGGCCGUUCCACCGUUGAGCGAUGGGCUUUCACCACUGACUUAUUAAACCGCCUACGGACCCUUUAAACCCAAUGAUUCCGGAUAACGCUUGGAUCCUCCGUAUUACCGCGGCUGCUGGCACGGAGUUAGCCGAUCCUUAUUCUUACAGUACCGUCAAGCUCCCUCACGAGGGAGUGUUUCUUCCUGUACAAAAGCAGUUUACAAUCCAUAGGACCGUCAUCCUGCACGCGGCAUGGCUGGAUCAGGCUUGCGCCCAUUGUCCAAUAUUCCUCACUGCUGCCUCCCGUA